GACGAACGCUGGCGGCGUGCCUAAUACAUGCAAGUCGAGCGGAUGGAAGGAAGCUUGCUUCCUAAAGUCAGCGGCGGACGGGUGAGUAACACGUGGGCAACCUGCCCCUAAGAUCGGGAUAACUUCGGGAAACCGGAGCUAAUACCGGAUAUGAUUAUGUCUCACAUGAGACAUAAUGGAAAGACGGUUUCGGCUGUCACUUAGGGAUGGGCCCGCGGCGCAUUAGCUAGUUGGUGAGGUAACGGCUCACCAAGGCGACGAUGCGUAGCCGACCUGAGAGGGGGAUCGGCCACACUGGGACUGAGACACGGCCCAGACUCCUACGGGAGGCAGCAGUAGGGAAUCUUCCGCAAUGGACGAAAGUCUGACGGAGCAACGCCGCGUGAGUGAAGAAGGUUUUCGGAUCGUAAAACUCUGUUGUUAGGGAAGAACAAGUACCAUAGUAACUGAUGGUACCUUGACGGUACCUAACCAGAAAGCCACGGCUAACUACGUGCCAGCCGCCGCGGUAACAC
rnacentral:rRNA from 1 species